AAUGAAGGGAGUUCAGCUCAUACAACACACUUUCAAUAGGGUACUGUACUCUAUAUUUCCAGGUUCUGUUUUAAUUACACUUGCAUAUUACCUUGGAGGAAGCUGAAAUCUGGAAAAUGUUUUCUCAUAUACCAUGUCUUAAACCUUCCUGACCUUCUGUUUUAUACCAAGUACAUUUAUGCUUGCGAUCAAAACCAUAUAAUAUGGGGAAGGGCUUGGCUAUCCGGAGUAAUCUAUCAGGGGCAUGCUGUCAGUCCCCCCUAGCAAAGACUGAGCAAUUCUCACUGAGAAACACCCCCACCAUCCAGCAGUAAGUCCCUCUUCCCCCUUCACGCACUCCCAGCAAGAGCUACAGGAGUGGGCCAGGCUGGGAGCAGGGCAGCAAGCAGCCUUUCCCUGCGGUGGCUGGGGCUCCUGCUGCUCUGAAGCAUCCUGGAGGGAUUAAGCAAUGGGAUGGCUCACAUAGCAUCAGUGCAUUGCCCGUACUGCAAUAAGAACAUCAGUGCCUCCUACCACUGCUGGGCUGGGGAGGUGAGCAGCAUCCACACUGCCAGCACUGGAGGCUGCAGUGCCGAACGCAGCUUGACGCCCAGCACCGAGGUCUGCUUGUGACAGCCAGCGUUCUCCAGGGAGAGCAGGGUGCCUGUGAGCACUGCUGACUGGAUAACAAAACCCAUACCAAUCACAUCUCUGUUACAGAGCAGCUUUCAUGUCACCUUCAGAUCCAUGACAACGGGAGCGCAUAUUGAUCUUCACAUCUCUACGUGUCUGGAGAGUGCCCCAAGAAAAACGGGUUUAGCAAAUACGUGUUUGCAGGAGAGGAUCUGUCAGUCCUCUGCCCAAGGCUUGGUCAGCAUUUUGGAAGUACAGACUGCUGUCUUUAAUCCCUUGCUGAAGAGCUCUCUCCCCCUGGCAGCCCAGGAAGGUGUUGAGAAAUGCUGCCAGGCACCGGUCUGCUCCCGGGGCUGCUGCUGACACAGCUCGUGAGCUGCUGCCUUGUCUCAGCACCUCGUCCUAAAAAACAAGGCAACUUUUACUUCUAACAGGAAUAAAAUAAAUCCUGUCAG
ensembl:lncRNA